GAUGAAGAACGUAGCGAAAUGCGAUAAGUAAUGUGAAUUGCAGAAUUCAGUGAAUCAUCGCAUCUUUGAACGCACAUUGCGCCCGCCAGUAUUCUGGCGGGCAUGCCUGUCCGAGCGUCAUUUCAACCAUCAAGCCCCGGGCUUGUGUUGGGGACCUGCGUCCGACGCAGGCCCUGAAAACCAGUGGCGGGCUCGCUGUCCACACCGAGCGUAGUAACUAACCUCGCUAUGGAGUGGCGCGGGCGCCUGCCGUAAAACCCCCAAUUUCACAAGGUUGACCUCGGAUCAGGUAGGAAUACCCGCUGAACUUAAGCAUAUCAAUAAGCGGAGGA
rnacentral:misc_RNA from 1 species